AAUAUGCCGGAAAAUACGGUACUAAAAUUGGAAUGAUACAGAGAAGAUUAGCAUGGCCCCUGCUCAAGGAUGGCAUGCAAAAAGAAGGAGUGAUAGCACAGCGAU